UCUUCUUUCAUUUUUUUUUUUUCUUCUCCUCCUCUUCUCUUCUCCCGAUUUCACCUUCCCCCUUUCUUCUCAUUUCUUGUCCCGUGGAGGGAGGAGGGCGAGCUCGGGAGGUUUGGGAGGAACGGGCAGCGGCCAAUGGCGCCCGGCGGCCGGCCUGCGGCGCCCUCGGCCACACCCGCGGCCGUGCCCGUGGUCGUGCUCGGGGGCGCAUCGGCGGCCUGCGGCCGCGUCGGCGUCCUGCGGCCGCGUCGGCGUCCUGCGGCCGCGUCGGCGUCCUGCGGCAGGCAACCCACGGCCUGCGGCCGAGGCCGGCACCCGCGAUUGCGGCUGCGGAUCACCCACUGCAUAAUUUGUAGAGAACAGGAAUUAGAGCUUACCUGACCUGAAGGUGGUCGUCCGCCUCCUACUCCGGCGAUGCGGCCCUUUACUCCGGCGGCGUGGGUCUAACACCGGGUCCUGCCAAUCGGAGAGGAUUGUGAGAGAGGGAGACAAACAGUGGAGGAGGAAGAUGAGCGGGUGGUGAAAUGGUAGCCGAUCGGGGCUUCUUGUAGCCUCGAUCACUGGGAAGGCGGACGGUUGUAACCGCCCACCAUCAGGCGUUACGAACGCCUGCACGAUGGUGUAAUGCCCUCCCCCCCUCCGUUUCUCUUGGAAGUGGGGCGGUUAUCACA